rnacentral:sRNA from 1 species
GCCGGGUGUGGAGAUGCACACCCGUAAUCCCAGUGGCUUGGGAGGCUGAGUCAGGAGGAUCACAACCUUGUUCACCCGAGGCUCCCUCCUCCU